GGUUCUAGGGAUGGCAGCAUUUAUGCAUGAAGUGUUCGAAGUGGUAAAGAGGUUGGUAGCUGGAGGAGUGCAACUGCUGAUACUGGACCACCGGUGAUAAAAUGGGCACCAGGAAGUCUCAUGUUCGCAACCGGAUCUUCUGAGCUAUCAUUUUGGGUCCCAGAUUUGUCUAAGUUGGGAUCUUAUGUUGGAAGAAAGUAAAAGCCAUACAUGAUGGAGGUUCUGUUUGCCCCACAACUCACUGAAAGAUACUAGACUAUGAUGGGGGGUAACAAAUAAGGGUGAGUUU